CAAGUCGAACGAGAAGCCGUCGCAAGACGGUUGUAAAGUGGCAAACGGGUGAGUAAUGCAUGGGUAACCUACCCUCUGGUGGGGGAUAACUCCCCGAAAGGGGUGCUAAUACCGACGAUACGCACCGGCCUUGCAAGGGGCUGGUGGAAAGCCGAGCCGAGGGUUCGGCGCCGGAGGAUGGGCUCAUGUCCUAUCAGCUUGUUGGCGGGGUAACGGCCCACCAAGGCUGCGACGGGUAGCUGGUCUGAGAGGACGACCAGCCACACUGGCACUGCGACACGGGCCAGACUCCUACGGGAGGCAGCAGUGAGGAAUAUUGCGCAAUGGACGACAGUCUGACGCAGCGACGCCGCGUGGGGGAUGAAGGCCUUCGGGUUGUAAACCCCUUUCGGGAGGGAAGAUGGGACGGGCAACCGUUCGGACGGUACCUCCAGAAGCAGCCACGGCUAACUCUGUGCCAGCAGCCGCGGUAAGACAGAGGUGGCAAGCGUUGUUCGGAUUUACUGGGCGUAAAGGGUGCGUAGGUGGUUAGGUAAGACCUGUGGGAAAGACCUGGGCUUAACCCAGGAAGGUCGCAGGUGACUGCCUAGCUAGAGGGCGGGAGAGGAGCGCGGAAUUCCCGGUGUAGCGGUGAAAUGCGUAGAGAUCGGGAGGAAGGCCGGUGGCGAAGGCGGCGCUCUGGAACGUUCCUGACACUGAGGCACGAAAGCGUGGGGAGCAAACAGGAUUAGAUACCCUGGUAGUCCACGCCCUAAACGAUGGGUACUAAGUGUCGGCGGGUUACCGCCGGUGCCGCACCUAACGGAGUAAGUACCCCGCCUGGGGAUUACGGCCGCAAGGUUGAAACUCAAAGGAAUUGAC
rnacentral:rRNA from 1 species